CCCGCUUCUAAAAAACAAAAAAAGAAAGACAAUAAGUCUCUCUCUCUCUCUCUGAAUCGGCUGAUCUUUAAACACAUCUAAUCUUGUUUUCAAAAAAAAAAAAAACAUCUAAUCCGUAUCUAAUCUUUCUCUUUCAAUCUCUCCACAAUGCUACCUACUGAUGCAGACUUGGAUCUCAGAACAUCUACCGCCUCUGCAUUCUUAAUCGGGGAUUACGCAUUUGCUGAUGCCAGUAACCUGGAGCAUUGUGCCAAGUACUUGAACCAGACGCUCGUUACCUUUGGAUUUCCUGCUUCCCUGGACCUCUUUGCCAAUGAUCCGGUUUCAAUUGCACGGACCUGCAAUUGCAUUUACUCUUUGCUUCAACAGAGACAGCGUGACGUUGAAUUCAGAGAAUCUGCCAAUGAGCAGAGACAGAGACUACUAUCAGAUAUAUCAAGAUUGGAGGCAAAAGUUGAGAGGCUUGAAUCGCAGAUACAAGCCAAAGAUAGGGAAAUAGCAACUAUCACAAGAACGGAAGCCAAAGCUACAGCAGCUUUUAAGGCACAGAUUGAAAAGCUUCAACAGGAACGGGAUGAAUUUCAAAGGAUGGUCAUUGGCAAUCAGCAAGUGAGGACCCAGCAAGUACAUGAAAUGAAGAAAAAGGAAAAGGAGUACAUAAAGCUGCAGGAGAGGCUAAAUCAAGUACUGAUGGAGAAAAAGAAGGAAUCAAGAUCAGGCAUGGAGAUAAUGAAUUUGCUUCAGAAAGAAGGCAGGCAACGUGGGACAUGGAAUGGGAAGAAGGCUGAUAAUGAUUUCUAUAAGAAAAUAGUGGAUGCAUAUGAGGCUAAGAAUCAAGAAUUGAUGGCAGAGAACACUGAUUUAAGGGCAUUAUUGCGGUCAAUGCAGGUUUAUGUUUAGCAUUCAAUUGCUUUUGUGAUACUUAUCCUUUUGUGAUACGUAUGAUAUGGAUUCAAAUUGAGUUGAGUAUCCUUUUCUAUGGUCUCCAGUUGGUGUGUACUUUGUCCUUGUGGGAACAAUAUGUUGUGUUUGUGUGGUUAUAGAGAAGCUUGUGUAGUUAUUGUGUCUAUGUCCAUAGUGUUCCUAUUAUAGAUUAGUGUAAGUUAAGCUUUUGUGCAAUAUAAAGGUUGCUUCAUUGCUAUUUGGGCAUCAUAGGAUCAAAACAGAGAAACAUCCUAAUGUAAUGAGCAAGGAAGGUUGUAUGCAUCUAACCCUCCUCAAACCAAAAGUGUAAGCCAUGUGCUUCUAUUCUAUUAGUGAUCCUUUACAAAAUGGACUUAGUGAAUGUAUCUGCACACUUGGUGCAUUGUAAUUUAUUUUUUCAUUCAAAUUAAGGUUGGAUGUUGGCAUUUUAGUAGCUUAUAUAAAGUUUUUGUAUGUUAAUUAUACUCAACUUAGCUAGCCUUAAUCCCAAAUUAAUUGGGGUUUUUAUAUGGAUAUGUUCUACCAUAACACCCAGUUUAGGACUAAAAUUUCAGAAAGAUGAUCUGAGGUUGCUAAGUUCUUUCUUGCUAUUUGCCUACAUGUCAUCUUAGGUUUAUUCCUUCCUUUCUUACUACCAUUACUCUAUACUCAACCCUUCAUACUGGGGCAUUCUUCUGUCUGUGAUGGCCAUGUCCAAAGUGCAAACUAUCUCAAUCUCCCUUCUGUCAACUUUUCCACAAUAGAUGCCAUUUCCACUUUACUGCAGAUGUAUUCAUUCCUCAUUCGAUCUAUUCAAGAAAAGAAACAUGAAAGGAAGUAAAGGGAAAAGCACCAUGUCCACAUAUAUCUGCUUGAUGCAUCCUGGAGAUCCAUAUUAUUAUAAAUGCUGCACUUUUACAGUUCUAUCACUGAUGUAGUAUAUGAAUUUACAAAUAUAGACGUCUUCAAAAGUUUGUCCUUUCAUUGAACAGAAUGCUUUCUAACUGGAUUUGAUAUUUUUCUAUUCUUUUUUUUUUGUUAAAAGAAAAUAUUUUGCUUACUUUUACCUGUGGUUUUAUUAUAUGAGACAAAUUAGUACCAAAAGAUAACCUUUUCCCUAAUCUUUAAAUGGCUUUUCCAUGUUUAAUCAUUGACACAUUUGAAUAACUAAUCAUUGACACAUUUCUAUAACUAAUGGCUUUUGUGAAAAUGAGCUUUAUGAUCCUCUGGCCAUAUAUUAUGAUCUCAGUUUGCAAGCCUGGCUUACAGGUUGAUAUGCGUGAUUUCAUAAAUGCUCCAAAUGGUUCAACCAAGCAAUCUUUGGCUGUCAAUGAAAAACUUGAAGCUGACCCCUCGCAGUCUCCUUUGGGUGGAAGGACGGACGUUUUUGACCUGCCUUUUCACAUGGCUAGAGAUCAAAUUGAGGAAAGUCUCCGAAAUAAGAUGGCUUCCAUAAAGGAGCGUAUGGUUCAAUUGCAAGAUGCACAGAAAGGAGCAGAUGUCACAUCUGAAGCAACAGAGAGAGAACUUGAACUUGAAGCUCAACUUGUUGAGGCAAGAAGCAUAAUCCAGGAGCAGGCAUCCAUAAUGUCUAAACAUCUUGCUAAGUCUGAGAGGCCAAGGGAAUCUAUCCUUUCAUCACCAGCUGAGGUAUAAAAUGCUUACCUGAUGUAGCUUCAUCCAUACUUUUACUGGCUGGAUGUUGAUGCUUCAAUUUGCCAUUUGUGUGGAUAGAAAAAAGAAAAGGGGUAUAGAUAUUAUUCUUUUCAAUGCUUACCAGAAUUAGAAACUCCCUGUUCAAAGUUAUCUAUCAUUGUUAGAAUAAUGGUCAUCUUUGGGUUCAUAGAAUAGUCUUUAGCAGUUGACCCAUAGUCUACUAGUUAUAUGGAUUUAAACCAUAUUAAAGAAGCUAACUUCGUUAAUGAACAUAUAACUUUGUUCUAUUCUGGGGCAUUUGAAUUUUGAAGUGCCUCUAAGAUGGAGGAUCUGGAAAGGCAGUUAUUAUGUCUAUGUUUUAGCAAGUAUUAGAUUUGUGUAUGCACUGUUCUGCUAAAUUAUUGUGUACCUGAACAGGUCUUAAUAGGAAAAAGGAUUUGAUGCUUUCCCUAUAAAAAAGGAAUAGAAACUACUUCCAGAGCUCACAAUAAAAUUUAUGUUCUUAGUGUUGCUGGUCUUACCAAACUAUUCUUUUCAUUUUUAGGGAAUGUGAUAUCACCAGCCUGAUGAUAUCUACAUUUUGGGUAUCGAGAUUGAUGGAGUUGGCUGUAUAGUAAGAUGCAUCGCUGCAGAGAACCUUUGUAAGCAUGAUUCCAUAUGGUUCUUUUGUAGUUGUAACUAGUGAGGCCUUGAGAACCGUUAAUGAAAUGUAAUGGGUAUGUAUGCUGACAAUCGCUCCAGUCAAAUUUCUUUCAUCCAUAUUAUCGUUCGUCUUCUGUGCUUUCAGAUCAUAGGUUGCUUGCCAUUAGCAUGAUUUUUUAAAAAUUUUUAAUUUUUAAUUU
rnacentral:misc_RNA from 1 species